GCCUGGUGUCUUGGGU
rnacentral:misc_RNA from 1 species